UACGUAGGGUGCGAGCGUUGUCCGGCAUUAUUGGGCGUAAAGAGCUCGUAGGCGGUCUGUCGCGUCGAUCGUGAAAACUUGGGGCUUAACCCUGAGCUUGCGGUCGAUACGGGCAUGACUGGAGUUCGGCAGGGGAGACUGGAAUUCCUGGUGUAGCGGUGAGAUGCGCAGAUAUCAGGAGGAACACCGGUGGCGAAGGCGGGUCUCUGGGCCGAUACUGACGCUGAGGAGCGAAAGCGUGGGGAGCGAACGGG
rnacentral:rRNA from 1 species